GAUGAACGCUGGCGGCGUGCUUAACACAUGCAAGUCGAACGGAAAGGCCCAAGCUUGCUUGGGUACUCGAGUGGCGAACGGGUGAGUAACACGUGGGUGAUCUGCCCUGCACUUCGGGAUAAGCCUGGGAAACUGGGUCUAAUACCGGAUAGGACCACAUUUUGGAUGGUGUGGUGGAAAGUUUUUCGGUGUGGGAUGAGCUCGCGGCCUAUCAGCUUGUUGGUGGGGUAAUGGCCUACCAAGGCGUCGACGGGUAGCCGGCCUGAGAGGGUGUACGGCCACAUUGGGACUGAGAUACGGCCCAGACUCCUACGGGGGGCAGCAGUGGGGAAUAUUGCACAAUGGGCGCAAGCCUGAUGCAGCGACGCCGCGUGGGGGAUGACGGCCUUCGGGUUGGAAACUCCUUUCGCUAGGGACGAAGCGUUAUGUGACGGUACCUGGAGAAGAAGCACCGGCUAACUACGUG
rnacentral:rRNA from 1 species